CAGCCGCCGCGGUAAUACGGAGGGCGCGAGCGUUGUCCGGAUUCACUGGGCGUAAAGCGGGUGUAGGCGGUCGGGUAAGUCGGACGUGAAAGCCCGGGGCUCAACCCCGGAAGGGCGUCCGAAACUGCUCGACUUGAGGGCGGGAGAGGGAGGUGGAAUUCCCGGUGUAGUGGUGAAAUGCGUAGAUAUCGGGAGGAACACCAGUGGCGAAGGCGGCCUCCUGGCCCGCUCCUGACGCUGAGACCCGAAAGCGUGGGGAGCAACCCGGAUUAGAUCCCCGGGUAGUCCACGCCGUAAACGGUGGGCACUAGGUGUGGGGGGUUAAUCCCUCCGUGCCGAAGCUAACGCAUUAAGUGCCCCGCCUGGGGAGUACGGCCGCAAGGUUGAAACUUAAAGGAAUUGGCGGG
rnacentral:rRNA from 1 species